AGUAUUGCACUUCCAAAAUUUUCCCUGCUACAGAAGUACUGGGGAAGACAGUCUGUCUGAAACGUACAGAACAAGAAUUGGAGACUUCAAAAAUGAAAAUUCCACUUCUAGAAAUUGACAUUUUUUGUCAAAUAUGUGCAUUUCAGCCUAGGCAACAAAGGAUUCAAAAUCUCUUCUUUUAAACACCUGCAACUACUCAUUCCUGAAGUGGCUGAAGUAUGUGUGCUGUGCUUUAUCCAGAGCUUAUCUGUCAGUCAAGUGACAGCUACUGACCAGUCUAAUACAGCACAGAUGGAAAGUUUCACAUCAGGACUUGGCAUUCAGAUCAUCAAUAAAUAG
rnacentral:lncRNA from 1 species